UGCCCCCGCGGCGCGGCCCUCGGCGCUGAGCUCCUCCCGCACCAUGGCCGGGGCCAUCGCGUCCCGCAUGAGCUUCAGCUCGCUCAAAAGGAAGCAGCCCAAGACCUUCACGGUGCGCAUCGUCACCAUGGACGCCGAGAUGGAGUUCAGCUGCGAGGUGAAGUGGAAAGGCAAGGACUUGUUUGACCUGGUAUGCAGAACGCUGGGACUCCGAGAAACAUGGUUCUUUGGCCUGCAGUACACUAUCAAGGACACGGUGGCUUGGCUUAAAAUGGACAAGAAGGUUCUGGAUCAUGACGUGCCAACAGAGGAACCUGUCACCUUUCACUUCCUAGCCAAAUUUUAUCCUGAGAACGCAGAGGAGGAGCUGGUCCAGGAGAUCACACAGCACUUGUUCUUCCUGCAGGUGAAGAAGCAGAUUUUGGAUGAGAAGAUCUACUGUCCUCCUGAAGCUUCUGUCCUGCUGGCCUCUUAUGCAGUCCAAGCCAAGUAUGGUGAUUAUGAUCCCAACGUCCACAAGCGAGGCUUUCUGGCACAGGAGGAGUUGCUUCCAAAGCGGGUAAUAAACCUGUACCAGAUGACUCCAGAGAUGUGGGAGGAGAGGAUUACAGCCUGGUAUGCAGAGCAUCGAGGCAGAGCAAGAGAUGAAGCAGAAAUGGAGUAUUUGAAGAUAGCUCAGGACUUGGAGAUGUAUGGAGUGAACUAUUUUGCAAUUAGGAAUAAGAAGGGUACUGAACUGCUCCUUGGAGUCGAUGCUUUGGGUCUUCACAUUUAUGACCCAGACAACAGAUUGACCCCUAAAAUCUCCUUCCCGUGGAAUGAGAUCCGGAAUAUCUCCUACAGUGAUAAAGAGUUUACAAUUAAGCCAUUGGACAAAAAGAUCGAUGUGUUCAAAUUCAAUUCAUCAAAGCUGCGUGUGAACAAGCUGAUUCUUCAGCUGUGCAUUGGAAACCACGAUCUUUUCAUGAGGAGGAGAAAGGCCGACUCAUUGGAGGUGCAGCAGAUGAAAGCACAGGCCAGGGAGGAGAAAGCCAGGAAGCAGAUGGAACGACAGCGCCUGGCCCGAGAGAAGCAAAUGAGAGAAGAAGCCGAAAGGACAAGGGAUGAGCUGGAGAGAAGGCUGAUGCAAUUAAAAGAAGAAGCAACGAUGGCCAACGAGGCCCUGAUGAGAUCUGAAGAGACAGCUGAUCUGCUGGCCGAGAAGGCUCAGAUCACGGAGGAGGAGGCCAAGCUCCUGGCUCAGAAAGCAGCAGAGGCUGAGCAAGAGAUGCAGCGAAUCAAAGCCACGGCCAUCCGGACGGAGGAGGAGAAGCGACUGAUGGAACAGAAGGUGCUAGAAGCAGAGAUGUUGGCACUGAAAAUGGCGGAGGAGUCAGAGAGGAGGGCAAAGGAGGCUGAUCAGCUAAAGCAAGACCUUCAGGAGGCUCGAGAGUCUGAGCGGAGAGCAAAGCAGAAGCUUUUGGAAAUCACUAGCAAGUCAUCCUACACGCAGUCCAUGAACUCCAGCACGACAGCACUGCCAACCGACCUGCCGAGCUUCAACCUCAUCAGUGAGAGCCUGUCCUUUGACUUCAAGGAUACAGACAUGAAGAGGCUGUCCAUGGAGAUCGAGAAAGAGAAGGUAGAGUACAUGGAGAAAAGCAAGCACCUGCAGGAGCAGCUGAAUGAGCUGAAGACUGAAAUCGAGGCGCUGAAGCUGAAGGAGAGAGAGACAGCUCUGGAUAUAUUGCACAACGAGAAUGCCAGCCGAGGCAACAGCAAGCACAACACUAUUAAAAAGCCUCAAGCCCAGGGCAGAAGACCUAUCUGCAUUUGACACAUCAAAAGCUGGCAGUGCCUUGGGCAGCAGGCUGAGCCAGGAGCUCGUGUGCCCGGAGGGAAGAUGUGUCUGGGGAAGCUGCUCUGCUCUUUCCAUGACUGAUCUUGCGUGCAGCCACAGCAAGUUUUGAGUUGUAGCGCUAAAGAAGAAGCAAUGCAGCUCACCCUACAGAGCACCAAGUCCCGCGUGGCCUUCUUCGAGGAGCUCUAGGAGGUGACCGGCCCUGAGGAGUGGGGUUCCCAUCCCACGGCCCCACGCCGCCCCGAUGCCUGCUGCUCCCACCUGGGCUAUGGACUGGGAUCUUCUCCUCUUAGCAUCCCCCAGUUUGAGUUUUCCCCAUGUUCUCCUGUCCUUUUCCCCCCCCCCCCCCCCCCCCUUAUUUUUCUACCUGCUCUGCUCUGUCUCGGCCCCCCAGGCUUUGUCCUCCAGGAGGAGGACGGGGUUUGGAUCGCAGCGCACCAAGGAGUGGAUGGGGCACUGCUGGCACCCGGAGCACGUGCAGGGAGAGGAGGAGAGCACGAAGGCUGAGGCUGCUGCUGUGCUGGGGAGAGGAGGAAGGGGCAGGAAGACCUCCUCCUCUUCCUCUGCAAGCAGGAAGGAGAACAACCCAUGCCAACCAGCUGUAGUCUUUUUUUCCCCGCAGACUGUGCCAGACAUGGGCAGUGUGAGGCUGUGGGUCUGCCCAACCUCUACCCGCUCUGUGCCUUUCCAGGAGCUGCAGCAGCUCCCUUACCAGCUCCAGCUCACCACUGCCCUGUUUCACUUCCCUAUUUAGGCUGAGCAGGCCGAGGUGCUGACGGCACCCAAACCCCCCCCGGGGACCCCCGUUGUCUCCCCCACAGGCCCCUGCCCACCGCUGGGCUCUGGGGCUGCCUCCAUCCCUGUGUCCCAUGCAAAGCAUCUCCCUGCAGGGGCCCGGGGCGCCCAGUGCCUGGCAGUGGGGCCCGGCCACGCGCUGCCUCCACCCCACGGCACCCCGACCCCUUUUAUUUAAGCACGCUGUCUGUAUCAGCUCCCUGCCCCAUGCGUGCCUGCCAUUUGGAUGGGUUCUCCCCUGACCCUGGUACAGCCUUUUUCUAUUCCCACGGAUUGUUGUAUCCUAAGAAAUGAUGGGUUCGUUUGUUUUAAUAAAAACUCAAAGCAGGAGGA